GAGGGAGCUGUCAGGGUUUGUACCUGACAGUUUUGUCUUGUUUUAGUUUUUCCUCUGUGUUUGUCUUAUUUCCUGUAAGCGUUCUUAUUUUGUCUUAUUUCCUGCUGUUAUCCCUGAGUGCUUUUCCCCCUCAGCUGUGUCUGAUUGGCACAGGGCCAGCCCUGCUUGUUCCUUCACUCUGGGCUGAAUUAUUAUGAUUACGACUUGUAGCUCCGACCGUUUGUAACUGAACCUGUAGCUGUUUGCAGCCUGCUGUCUUUUUUUGUUCCCGUCUUGUAGUUCCUGUUCCUGGCAUCCUGUUUCCUGUCUCCGAGUUCCUGGUUCGUCAACAACUCAACUUGACAGGAGCGGCAUAAAAGCCAGCGGACCCAAGAGACCUUCGCCAGAACGUAGCCAAUCUCCCUGAUGUGUUCCCUGUUGCCUGUGAUCGGGUCUCGCCUCACGACCUCCUCCCGGAUCUCUGCUUGCCUCCCUCGAUCCUCGACCCCUGCUUUGACACGGACAUCGUUGCCUUUCUCCUGCCCCCCACUGCUUCCCUCCCUACUGACUGCCUCUUCGCCUUUUCCCUUGGAUUCGGCAAAAGAUUCAAUCAACACGCACCGACAACAUCUGUUAAAGCUCACAUUGUCAUUUCCACACAUUGUCCGCACUCAUUCACUCGUGGUAGCAUACACACGCCACACAUUCAUCAAAUGUUUAAAUAAACCUUGUAACUGCAGUUACGGCUUAGUGUCGCCGUAACGUAUUAUUUUCGAGU